CGGAGCAGUCGGGCGGGCCCGCGUCCCGCAGCGCUUGGAGCCGUGUGCCGCUCCAACUCCCCCGGCACGCGGCGGAGCCCUGAGAAAAUGCAGCAAUUUAAUUUCGUUUUAGUCGACAGGAUGAGGACAUCUGUACAGAAACACCAACUAUCAGCUCUCACCGUCUGAAGAAAACAUGGACUAUAUUUUGGACCAAAUGUACCGACAGUUAUGGACCGAAGCCAUUCCUAUGGAGGUUCAUUCUUUUCACUGGAGGUGGUAAGAAUGGACUGAAACCACCACCAAGGAAUGUGCAUGCCCUAAAAAGGCAGAACUGAGGAGGAGCUGUGCUGGACAGUUCUUGGAAUUUGUAAAGUAGUUUGGGGAAAAGUUGUUACUAUGCAUAAUUUCUGAGUAUGUAACAGGCUGAUGCAAUAGAAAUGGUAUAUGAAUGGUGUUUCCAAAAUAGCAAGUGUGCUCUUGACUGAGUGCCAAGAGGCACCCAGCCAUAAUAACUGUUGCUCUAUGGUUCUAUUGUCCUUUAUUAAAGUUUUAAAAUUUUUA